rnacentral:rRNA from 1 species
AUGGAGGGUCUACUCCACUGGGAUUUCUCCCCUGGCCAUGCGGUGGAGACAUAGGUGCGCAAAAGGUUUGGUUCCACGGUCCACUUCUCCCCCUCUGUGGGUACAAAGGAAUUCUUCCUAGUUGUGGCUUUCUCUUCUGCUUCCUUCUCUCUCACGGUUGAAUCGGUGGGUCUUGCUAUUCAAUGUUGCAUUGGUGGAUCCUCUACUGGUUUCAAUGUCAAACAUCUUGCUGGUCUUAAGGACCGGUUGUGGCCUGAUUUCGUUUGUCACUUCAAUCUUUAUCGACACAAUGCUUGGUCUCCCUCUCGAAAUGAUCAAGCAUGGCAUUCUGACCAAGAGCUUACGGAAGUGGUUUUACGUUCUCCUGUAGCUAUCAAACCAAAGUUACACCUUUGGUCUAGUGUUGAUGAUCAGAAUAUUGCUUCUUUGAAGGAGUUGGAAAAUUUUGGUUUAUCUCCUCCAAAUUCAAGUAAUAACUUUCCAUGA